CAGACUUCAAUAUGGAGGGAGAUAGUUGUGUAACCAGCUUGUGAAGAAGAUCUGGCUGCUCUUCAAAGAGAUCAGGUAAGUGUUUCCUCAUAGCAGCCUCCAACUUUGAUGCAUCUGCGCCAGGCACACCAUACCACAUUUUUGGAGCCCCGAAAUGCAUGUAAUUUAAUGAGUAUAAAUGGUGAUCUUCAACAUGCCAACAGAACGAUGAAAAGCACAUUCCUAUGUACAGCCACGGCACCAAGACCCCAGAUAUAUCACUGCUCUCAUAUGUAAGAACAAAACCGGUAAGCCUUGGAAAAUUAUUCAAGUUCCACCCUGAGUUCAGAUACUUGGUGUCAGAAGAGCCAACUUGAUGGUCAUGUUUAGGGAACCCACUUCCAAAUACUCCAGUUUCCAAGUCAGCCCCAUAAAGCACCUCAAUCUCUUCAGUGGGUUUCUCGACCAUCCGCCAAUAUUCACCCUCGAUGUUCUCCAAGGAGGGGCAUUGUCCUUCAUUUUGCCUGAAGUACUGGGCCUUAAAGUCAUCAGCAUACUUCUGAAAUGCUUCCAGAGUAAACUCUGGACCAGGUUCAAAUCCAAAACUCUCAGCCUGACAAACACCAACAUCAUUGCACCCUGAGAUAUUUCCACUAUCUACCCCACAAUCUACCGCCAUUCCCAUGCACCUUCUCCUUUUCUUCCUGGUAUGGUUAUAUAGCUUUGACAUCUUUUUCAUUGAAUCUCGAUUCUGUAGUUUGUCAACCCUCUGGACACGA
rnacentral:misc_RNA from 1 species